rnacentral:rRNA from 1 species
CGAAAAACGAAUACCAAGU